GACGAACGCUGGCGGCGUGCUUAACACAUGCAAGUCGAACGGAAAGGCCUGCUUUCCCUUGUGGAUUGCGGGUACUCGAGUGGCGAACGGGUGAGUAACACGUGAGUGAUCUGCCCCCAACUUGGGUAUAAGCCUGGGAAACUGGGUCUAAUUCCCGAUAGGACUGCAGGGUGGUGCCUGUGGUGGAAAACGAUUUUCUAGUGGUUGGGGAUGAGCUCGCGGCCUAUCAGCUUGUUGGUGGGGUAAUGGCCUACCAAGGCGGCGACGGGUAGCCGGCCUGGGAGGGUGGACGGCCACAUUGGGCCUGAGAUACGGCCCAGACUCCUACGGGAGGCAGCAGUGGGGAAUAUUGCACAAUGGGCGGAAGCCUGAUGCAGCGACGCCGCGUGGGGGAUGACGGCCUUCGGGUUGUAAACUCCUUUCGACCGCGAGGAAGCCACCUGGUUGGAAGGGUGGUGACGGUAGUGGUAGAAGAAGCACCGGCUAACUACGUG
rnacentral:rRNA from 1 species